rnacentral:rRNA from 1 species
GAUGCCAGUACUUGACGAAUAAGCAUCGGCUAACUCCGUGCCAGCAGCCGCGGUAACACGGGGGAUGCGAGCGUUAUCCGGAUUUAUUGGGUUUAAAGGGCGCGUAGGCGGGAUGCCAAGUCAGCGGUAAAAGACUGCAGCUAAACUGUAGCACGCCGUUGAAACUGGUGACCUCGAGACGAGUCGAGGAUGGCGGAACAAGUGAAGUAGCGGUGAAAUGCUUAGAUAUCACUUGGAACCCCGAUAGCGAAGGCAGCUGUCCAGACUCGAUCUGACGCUGAUGCGCGAGAGCGUGGGUAGCGAACAGGAUUAGAUACCCUGGUAGUCCACGCCGUAAACGAUGCUCACUGGAUCUUGGCGAUACACUGUCAGGGUUCAAGCGAAAGUAUUAAGUGAGCCACCUGGGGAGUACGUCGGCAACGAUGAAACUCAAAGGAAUUGACGGGGGCCCGCACAAGCGGAGGAACAUGUGGUUUAAUUCGAUGAUACGCGAGGAACCUUACCUGGGUUUAAAUGUAGAGUGCAUGGGGUGGAAACAUCCCUUUCCCUCGGGACUCUUUACAAGGUGCUGCAUGGUUGUCGUCAGCUCGUGCCGUGAGGUGUCGGGUUAAGUCCCAUAACGAGCGCAACCCCUAUCGAUAGUUGCCACCGGGUAAUGCCGGGCACUCUAUCGAGACUGCCACCGUAAGGUGCGAGGAAGGCGGGGAUGACGUCAAAUCAGCACGGCCCUUACAUCCAGGGCUACACACGUGUUACAAUGGCCGGUACAGAGGGCCGCCACCCGGUGACGGGGCGCCAAUCUCUAAAGCCGGUCGUAGUUCGGACUGGAGUCUGCAACCCGACUCCACGAAGUUGGAUUCGCUAGUAAUCGCGCAUCAGCCAUGGCGCGGUGAAUACGUUCCCGGGCCUUGUACACACCGCCCGUCAAGCCAUGGAAGCCGGGAGUACCUGAAGAUCGUGACCGCGAGGAACGGGCUAGGGUAAUACCGGUAACUGGGGCUAAGUCGUAACAAGGUAGCCGUACCGGAAGGUGCGGCUG